rnacentral:rRNA from 1 species
UACGAAGGGGGCUAGCGUUGCUCGGAAUCACUGGGCGUAAAGGGCGCGUAGGCGGCCGAUUAAGUCGGGGGUGAAAUCCUGGAGCUCAACUCCAGAACUGCCUUCGAUACUGGCGAUCUUGAGUCCGGAAGAGGUGAGUGGAACUCCUAGUGUAGAGGUGGAAUUCGUAGAUAUUAGGAAGAACACCAGUGGCGAAGGCGGCUCACUGGUCCGGUACUGACGCUGAGGUGCGAAAGCGUGGGGAGCAAACAGG